rnacentral:rRNA from 1 species
AGAAUCAACGCUGGCGGCGUGCCUAACACAUGCAAGUCGCACGAGAAAGGGGCUUCGGCUCUGAGUAAAGUGGCGCACGGGUGAGUAACACGUGACUAAUCUACCCUCGAGUGGGGAAUAACCUAGAGAAAUCUGGGCUAAUACCGCAUAACACUUACGAGUCAAAGCAGCAAUGCGCUUGGGGGGGAGGUCGCGGCCGAUUAGCUAGUUGGCGGGGUAAUGGCCCACCAAGGCGAUGAUCGGUA